CCUACGGGAGGCAGCAGUGGGGAAUAUUGCGCAACGGGCGAAAGCCUGACGCAGCGACGCCGCGUGAGGGAUGAAGGUCUUCGGAUCGUAAACCUCUGUCAGCAGGGAAGAACGGUCACUGUGCUAAUCAGCAGUGAAUUGCUGGUAACUGCCCAGGAACCACCGGCUAACUUCGUGCCAGCAGCCGCGGUAAUACGGAGGGUGCGAGCGUGAUUCGGAAUUACUGGGCGUAAAGCGCUCGUAGGCGGUAUGGCAAGUCAAGGGUGAAAUCCCCGCGCUCAACGUGGGGACUGCCUUGGAAACUGGCAGACUGGAGUGUGUGAGAGGUUAGUGGAAUUCCAGGUGUAGGAGUGAAAUCCGGAGAUAUUUGGAGGAACAUCAGUGGCGAAGGCGACUAUCUGGCACAUAACUGACGCUGAGGAGCGAAAGCGUGGGGAGCAAACAGGAUUAGAUACCCCAGUAGUC
rnacentral:rRNA from 1 species